rnacentral:rRNA from 1 species
GACGAACGCUGGCGGCGUGCUUAACACAUGCAAGUCGAACGGAAAGGCCCUGCUUUUGUGGGGUGCUCGAGUGGCGAACGGGUGAGUAACACGUGAGUAACCUGCCCUUGACUUUGGGAUAACUUCAGGAAACUGGGGCUAAUACCGGAUAGGAGCUCCUGCUGCAUGGUGGGGGUUGGAAAGUUUCGGCGGUUGGGGAUGGACUCGCGGCUUAUCAGCUUGUUGGUGGGGUAGUGGCUUACCAAGGCUUUGACGGGUAGCCGGCCUGAGAGGGUGACCGGCCACAUUGGGACUGAGAUACGGCCCAGACUCAUACGGGAGGCAGAAGUGGGGAAUAUUGCACGAUGGGCGGAAGCCUGAUGCAGCAACGCCGCGUGCGGGAUGACGGCCUUCGGGUUGUAAACCGCUUUCGCCUGUGACGAAGCGUGAGUGACGGUAAUGGGUAAAGAAGCACCGGCUAACUACGUG